CUCUUAUCCAGAGCGGUGGAGGGACUGGCCCGAUGAAACCCGGCAACCCGUUUAUAUAGGCGGGUGCCAAUUCCGGAAAGACUGAGGUCUUUCAAGAUGAGAG
rnacentral:ncRNA from 2 species